rnacentral:rRNA from 1 species
AGUGAACGCUGGCGGUAGGCCUAACACAUGCAAGUCGAACGGCAGCACAGUAAGAGUUUGCUCUUACGGGUGGCGAGUGGCGGACGGGUGAGGAAUACAUCGGAAUCUACUUUUUCGUGGGGGAUAACGUAGGGAAACUUACGCUAAUACCGCAUACGACCUACGGGUGAAAGCAGGGGAUCUUCGGACCUUGCGCGAUUGAAUGAGCCGAUGUCGGAUUAGCUAGUUGGCGGGGUAAAGGCCCACCAAGGCGACGAUCCGUAGCUGGUCUGAGAGGAUGAUCAGCCACACUGGAACUGAGACACGGUCCAGACUCCUACGGGAGGCAGCAGUGGGGAAUAUUGGACAAUGGGCGCAAGCCUGAUCCAGCCAUGCCGCGUGGGUGAAGAAGGCCUUCGGGUUGUAAAGCCCUUUUGUUGGGAAAGAAAAGCAGCAGGUUAAUACCCCGCUGUUCUGACGGUACCCAAAGAAUAAGCACCGGCUAACUUCGUG